AGGACGAACGCUGGCGGCGUGCUUAACACAUGCAAGUCGAGCGGAAAGGCCCUUCGGGGUACUCGAGCGGCGAACGGGUGAGUAACACGUGAGCAACCUGCCCUUAGCUUCGGGAUAGCUCCGGGAAACCGGAAUUAAUACCGAAUAUGACUGCGGCUGACAUCAGCCACGGUGGAAAGUUUUUCGGCUAGGGAUGGACUCGCGGCCUAUCAGCUAGUUGGUGAGGUAACGGCCCACAAGGCGACGACGGGUA
rnacentral:rRNA from 1 species